rnacentral:rRNA from 1 species
AUUGAACGCUGGCGGCAUGCCUUACACAUGCAAGUCGAACGGUAACAGGUUAAGCUGACGAGUGGCGAACGGGUGAGUAAUAUAUCGGAACGUGCCCAGUCGUGGGGGAUAACUGCUCGAAAGAGCAGCUAAUACCGCAUACGACCUGAGGGUGAAAGCGGGGGAUCGCAAGACCUCGCGCGAUUGGAGCGGCCGAUAUCAGAUUAGGUAGUUGGUGGGGUAAAGGCCCACCAAGCCAACGAUCUGUAGCUGGUCUGAGAGGACGACCAGCCACACUGGGACUGAGACACGGCCCAGACUCCUACGGGAGGCAGCAGUGGGGAAUUUUGGACAAUGGGCGAAAGCCUGAUUCAGCCAUGCCGCGUGCGGGAAGAAGGCCUUCGGGUUGUAAACCGCUUUUGUCAGGGAAGAAAAGGUUCUGGUUAAUACCUGGGACUCAUGACGGUACCUGAAGAAUAAGCACCGGCUAACUACGUGCCAGCAGCCGCAGUAA